rnacentral:rRNA from 1 species
ACGCUCGACACCUACGGGAGGCAGCAGUUGGGAAUAUUGGACAAUGGAGGAAACUCUGAUCCAGUGACGCCGCGUGAAGGAAGAAGGUCUUCGGAUUGUAAACUUAUUUUGUCAGGGAAGAAAAAAUGACUGUACCUGAAGAAAAAGCACCGGCUAACUACGUGCCACAGCCGCGGUAAUCUGAGCGGGCUGGCAAGGC